CUGGAUAUCUGACUGGAGCCACAGAU
rnacentral:piRNA from 1 species